CCUACGGGAGGCAGCAGUGAGGAAUAUUGGUCAAUGGGCGCGAGCCUGAACCAGCCAAGUCGCGUGAGGGAAGACGGCCCUACGGGUUGUAAACCUCUUUUGCCGGGGAGCAACGGGCGCCACGUGUGGCGCCACUGAGAGUACCCGGAGAAAAAGCAUCGGCUAACUCCGUGCCAGCAGCCGCGGUAAUACAGGGGAUGCGAGCGUUACCCGGAUUUAUUGGGUUUAAAGGGUGCGUAGGCGUAGCGUUAGGUCAGGGGUCAAAUUGAGGGGCCAAACCCCUUCCCGCCAUUGAAACUGGCGAUCUUGAGUGGAAGUGAGGUAGGCGGAAUGCGUGGUGUAGCGGUGAAAUGCAUAGAUAUCACGCAGAACCCCGAUUGCGAAGGCAGCAUGCCGGCUUCCGACUGACGCUGAAGCACGAAAGCGUGGGGAGCGAACAGGAUUAGAUACCCCGGUAGUC
rnacentral:rRNA from 1 species